GCUAUUUUUUUACUAGUGAUUUUAUUCAACUUCUACUUAAAAUCUUUGAUAUAUUUAGAGAAUUUUAGAUUCCAGAACUCAAAUUGAUUAUGAUUCUCUUAAUUAUCAUUUAGCAAUUCAUGCCAUCAAAACUCCAUCAAGAGUCGGCCUCCAUGACCCACUAGUCAGAUCACUCCCUCUUUAUCGGACAAUUUCAUUUGCUCCGCCAUGGUAGGCAUGAUGUGAGCCCGUCCUCCGAGAAGGUUAAAUGAUCGAAUUACUUUUGUUGUCUUUGUUUAUGGUUCUGAUAUUGUGCUUUUGUUUAAAUGGAUCAUGUAAUAUCCGGUGAUUUUAGAAAAAAAAAUAUUUUAACAAAAAUAAAUAAAACAAGUUAAUAAAUAAAAAACCAGAAAUUUAAUUUAAACAAAAAUUGAUUUUGCAAAAAUCAAACCAAUUACAGUUAACUCAAUUCCCACCCAUUAUCAAAAUAAUUUCCACUCCUUCCACUCUUCCCUCUAAACCUAAUCACCAACUCAAUCUACUCACUAUAGAUUAAACUAAUUUACCCUUAAAUUCAUUCAUACUCUCUUUUUCUCUUAUAAGCAACUUCCGGUAUCAUCUAAUUACUUCAAUCCAAACAAGUAAAGGGCAAAAUUUUGGGAUUUAAGGUAUGUAUUUCAUCCAUUAGUUAUGAGUUUUCAUGUUCAAAACCUAAAAUUUAUACUACAAAUUUCAAAUUCAAAAUACCCAUUUUUUAAUUUAAAAAGUCAUACUCCCUUCAAUUCACUACUAAUGUUCCAUUUACUUUAUACACUAUAUCCAAUGCACUUAUACAAUUCUUAAUAUCUCUAAUUGUGCAUAAUUAAAAAUUAUAGAAAGUUGAUAUGAGUAAUCCUUACAUUGAGACGAAUCAAAUAAGAUCCCACUUGACUAUGUUUUAACUUAUACAUUAAUAAUAAAAUACAAAUAAAGAAUAAGAGAUGAAUAGUGUCUAAAAAGCAAAUAAGACAUUAGUAGUGAAUUGGAGGGAGUACAAAAAAAAUAAUAUAGCUGCUGACAGGUUAUUAUUUCUGCUAUUUGAUACGAUGUUUGGUCUUCCUUCUAUUUGUUGUGAUCCAAGUAGAAGGCGUGUACACGCUAGGAUUACCUGAGACUACUCUGCUAGCCUUGAUGAAUUAUUUGGGGUGACGACCUCUUGAUGAAGUAGGUAUAAGCGUAAAGCCUCGGCCUACUGGCGUUCUCGUUCUUUCAAAUUAAUAAUUGGAUAUAUUCGUUGUCAUUAUUAAAUAUCAAAUAAAUUAAUUGGUUAAUGUGAUAUUACAUUGUUUUCACAAAUAAUUUUUAACUCAGUUAUAUAUUAUUUUCUAUAAUUAUUUCCAACUCGAUUAUAAUUUAUAUUCUUAAACUAUUAUUUUCAAACUUUACUGUUUUACGAGAUGAAGUUGGAAUUACUCAAUUUCUUUAUUUUGGGAGUUUUUUCUCGUUUUCUUAUAUUCUUAUGUUGCAGGUUAUUGAUCACGUGGGGAUCGUGGAGUGAAGAUCACUUAGAAACAAAAUUUUUGUUAGAAUGCCUCGAUUCUGUUGCACUGCUAGGAAAAGUGUUAGGAAUUUUCGUGAUGCAUCGUACCAUCUAUCUUUGAAAUCAGGAGAUAUAGGUCCCUGUGCUGAACUUAAAAAAGAAUACAACGACAUAAUUUAAAACAGGAGAUCCAACUGGGAAAAGUAUGCAAAUGAAAAUAAGAAGGGGUUCCUUACUUUAGAGUAUUUAGAAAAAAUGAUGAUUGAUGCUAAAGCGAAGUGGAUUUAUAAUGUAUCUGGGAGCUUCUAUCGCUGCGAAGAUGAGAAUGAUAAGGAAGAUGAGAAAGAUGAUAACACCUACACCAUACCUAUACAUAUUCAAUCCAAAAACUCAGAAUCACAAUAUGAAAUUUCCCUUUUUUUUGUUAUUAAAUAGAACUUAUAUGCCUAUUAGUGUUUGAUGUGAGAAAUAUACUAUUUUGUAACCGUAUGUUACCUUAUUCUUUUACGAUUGAUUUUGUUAGUUUUUUUAUUCAUGGGAAAUUCCACGUGGUAACCCUAAAUUUUUGGCUUUAUUACAUGGUGGACAAACUUUUUUUUAUCCACGUAGUGAGCUUGACCUUUUAAUUAUUCCACCUAGUAGACAAAAAGGAAGUUUUUUUGUUAAUUGUAAGCUAUUUAUACCUAACGUAAUGAUAUUUUUUCAAAAAACUAACAUAUGUGAUCAUCUUAAUUGACCACAUAUAUCGAAAUAAGUACUUAAUUUAACCAAAAGAUUUAACAUUUUGUCUACCACAUAGAAGAGUUCGAAGCACAAGGUCACCACGCGAAAAUGUUUGUGGAAAAGCCAAAAAUCACCACGUGGAAUUUCCCUUUAUUCAUUCAUGUUUUUAAGUUGACCUUUUAUUUUCAUUGAUAGUGUUUUUACAUGAAAAGUAGAUUAGCAAAUGUUGUUGCAAAAACCCCAGCCUUAUUUAUACUAUGUGUGACUUAAACCAACACCAUGUGCAAUACUAUCCAUUACUCUACCUAUUUUGAGCUGAUAGCCUUUUAGAGAACAAAGCAACACACAUAUGAAAACCAGCUAACCGCAAAAAGUUCUUUUUUAUGGUGACUUCUUUGGAACAACAAUACAACAAAACUAGCAGCAACAAUAACAAAUUCACAACAGUUUUAAAUAUCUUCAAUAAUCAGUUUUUCACAACAAUAAAAAAUAUUUGACGAGUCCGGGUCCGAGUCCUAAGGUGAAGACCCGGACCCUAAACUUUUAAAUUUUAUAUAAUAAAUUUCGGAUUUUUAAAUUAUAAUAUUAAUUUUUUUAUUAUUAAUAUAUAAUAAUAUAAUGUCUUGGGCCCUUGAUCAGUUGAUUACUUGAUUCACUUGAUUGCCUUCUCAAGUUCUCAUUCUCAAUUCAGUAACCCUA